ensembl:lncRNA
CACAAUUGUCUGCAACUCCGAACAGCAGCUGCAAGAUCACAACUGUGCACAGUAGUCCCGCCCCAUAGACUGUUGCGGUUACUUAGCCCAAAUCCAUCAACAGAAAAUGUGGAGGGCAUAUGGGAAGAGAGAGAGCUGUGUGUGCUGUGGACCUCCCAGAUGGCUGCCAGCCCCACAGAGAGUGAGGCAGCAGUCCCAACCAGUGGAACACUCUUAAGAGCUGUAAGAAGAAAGUUUUAAGAGGGAAGUUCAUGUUCAAGCUAUCCUGCAAGCUCCACAGAGGAUGUCAAAACCUGCUGAUAUCUAGCAGAGUCAACUCCAAGUUUGUGUAUCCUGGUCCACUCUACCUUUCCAUCAGGCAGUACAUGUGGAAAUGGAAAAGUAGCUCUCUAAUUAAUCAAAGUCAGAUCUGCCUGAACGCCUGGAGUUGCUGCUGAUCCUUGUCCCAGCUUCUACCAUGUUCUCUCUCUAUGUUUUUUACCUUGAAAACUUCUGCUCUGAGCUGGGAAUGCCUGAAGGGCUUGCACGAACAAGGGAGAAUGAGGGAAGAGAAGGAAAGAACUGAAAAAGUGCAAAAAGAAAGGAGGGAAGGAAGGAUACCCCUGUAUGUCACAUCCACCGUGUCCCAGUUGGGCUCUGGCACCUCUACAGUGACCAGAUGUGAUGAGAUGGCUCAGGCCAGCAAGGAUUGCUUUGAGAAACUCUGGAAGGAAAGAGAAGACACUUGGAGGAAUGUAUCAUGGAACUGAUUUACAUUAAAAACUAUUACUCACACAUUUCUCCAUUUUCUGCUAG